rnacentral:rRNA from 1 species
AGCAGCCGCGGUAAUUCCAGCUCCAAUAGCGUAUAUUAAAGUUGUUGCAGUUAAAAAGCUCGUAGUUGAACUUCGGGGUUUACCCAUUGGUCAGGCUUAAUUGUCUGUACUGGUGAGAUAAAUCUCUACCUUCUGAGGAACUUUCAUGUCAUUAAUUUGGUGUGAUUGGAAAUCAGGACUGUUACUUUGAAAAAAUUAGAGUGUUUAAAGCAGGCUAACGUCUGAAUACAUUAGCAUGGAAUAAUGAAAUAGGACGGACUGAUUCUAUUUCGUUGGUUUCUAGGAUCACCGUAAUGAUUAAUAGGGAUAGUUGGGGGCAUUAGUAUUCAAUUGUCAGAGGUGAAAUUCUUGGAUUUAUUGAAGACUAACUACUGCGAAAGCAUUUGCCAAGGAUGUUUUCAUUAAUCAAGAACGAAAGUUAGGGGAUCGAAGACGAUCAGAUACCGUCGUAGUCUUAACCAUAAACUAUCGCCGACUAGGGAUCGGACGAAGUUAAUUUUAUAAUGACGCGUUCGCGACC